rnacentral:rRNA from 1 species
GCUCAGAACGAACGCUGGCGGCAGGCUUAACACAUGCAAGUCGAGCGCCCCGCAAGGGGAGCGGCAGACGGGUGAGUAACGCGUGGGAAUCUACCCUUUUCUACGGAAUAACGCAGGGAAACUUGUGCUAAUACCGUAUGAGCCCUUCGGGGGAAAGAUUUAUCGGGAAAGGAUGAGCCCGCGUUGGAUUAGCUAGUUGGUGGGGUAAAGGCCUACCAAGGCGACGAUCCAUAGCUGGUCUGAGAGGAUGAUCAGCCACAUUGGGACUGAGACACGGCCCAAACUCCUACGGGAGGCAGCAGUGGGGAAUAUUGGACAAUGGGCGCAAGCCUGAUCCAGCCAUGCCGCGUGAGUGAUGAAGGCCCUAGGGUUGUAAAGCUCU